rnacentral:tRNA from 1 species
AAUCCGUCGACUUUUGAAAUCGUGAGGGUU